rnacentral:rRNA from 1 species
CACGUAGGGCGCAAGCGUUGUCCGGAAUUAUUGGGCGUAAAGAGCUCGUAGGCGGUCUGUUGCGUCCGCUGUGAAAACUCGGGGCUUAACCCCGAGCCUGCAGUGGAUACGGGCAGACUAGAGGUAGGUAGGGGAGAAUGGAAUUCCCGGUGUAGCGGUGAAAUGCGUAGAUAUCGUGAGGAAGACCAGUUGCGAAGGCGGAUCUCUGGGCAGUUCCUGACACUGAGGCACGAAGGCCAGGGGAGCAAACGGG